UGGGACUGAAAACUGGACCUCAAGCAUCACUUGCCCUUUAGAACAAGUUAGUAGUCGUGUGGUUACGUAGUUUUUGGAUGGAAAUGAUAACAGCUGCUGCAGAAUGCGAAUGGAGACAGGAUGGAGAGCAUUAGGACAUUCAGCCAGGUGCCAGUAGUGGACGGUGGGUUCAGCCCUAAGGAUGGAAUUUGAAUUUAUCCUAAUUGAUGAUUGCUUUGUUGUGAAAUCCAAGUAGUAGCUGAUGAAGCAGGAAAGAAAGAUGCUCUUUCAAUCUCGUUUGAGGUUUGGCAGUGCAGCCUAUUUCGUGAGCUGAGAUAAGUAGUGAUGUAGAUAACAUAGAAACAUUACAAAUGCAAGAAAGAUAAGUUUUAACUUUUGCUUAAAUGCUUCCACGAGGUUUUCACUCUAACAAAUUGCGAUGAAACUGGGCUAAGAUUAAAUAGGCGAUGCGAGGAACAACACAUUUUUAGAAAACUACUCCUUUAGGACAUGGAGUUUUCGUUAGUCUUGAUAUAUGAUACUAAGAGGUCGGUGUCACCCACAAAAUAUCUUCGUUAGUCUUCAUCUGUGAAGCAAAUACUUGGUCCCACAAAAAAGGGAAAAAGUGUUUCGAAAACGGAUUGUCUACAUACGCUGAAUAGAAGUUUGACUUUGUACUGACUUUCAAUUGACUUUGAACUCUGAUGCAAAGUCUUGGUCCCCAAUAUAAGUGGUUAAAAUGUUCCGGGCACUGGACUGUCUUUACGCACUGAUCAGGUGUUUGACUUUAUACAAAUGAUGGGAGACUCAAUGCUGACCCUUUCAUGGGUUGGUGUCCCCCCACAAAGCCUCUUCCUUAGUCUGAUCUGUGAUGCAAAGACUUGGUCCCCCAAAAAAGGAUGAACUGUUUCGGACACUGGACUGUCUUUAUACGCUGAGCAGACGUCUGACUUUGUACAAGAGAUGGGAGACUAAAUGCUGACCCUUUCAUGGGUUGGUGUCCCCCACAAAGCCUCUUCCUUAGUCUAAUCUGUGAUGCAAAGACUUGGUCCCCCAAAAAUGGGAAAAACUAUUUCGGACACUGGACUGUCUUUAUACGCUGAGCGGACGUAUGACUUUGUACAAGAGAUGGGAGACUAAAUGCUGACCCCUUUACGGGUUGGUGUCCCCCCAAAAAUCUCUUCCUUAGACGGUCUCGAUCUGUGAUGUAAAGACUUGGUCCCCAAAAAAGAGGAUAAACUGUUUCGGACACUGGACUGUCUUUAUGCGCUGAUCAGAUGUUUGACUUUGUGUGAGGAGUGCAUAUUACCCAAAAAAUCUCAAAAAAAGAUUCAAUUAUAACCCAUUUAAGACAAGACUUCAUAUAUUAAAACUUGUAUGUAAACGGAAAAAAUUUAGGAGAGUUUUGUACUUUUUAUUUUAAAACAGGAUUCAAGGAAGAGAGGGAAUAUCGAUGUAUAUAAAACAUCUUGGAUUUCAUUGGAUUGUGAUCUUCUCUAUGAGGUGUCCAAGAUUUCACGAAAAAUGACAACCUCAGGAAAGAAACCAAGGACAAAGAUAAUCUUUUGGUAUGGUACCACGAAGGUUCUAAGUUUAGAAAGGUCAUGAAGACGAACAGAAACUUGUUUGAGAUUACAUAAAGCAUGACUACUUCAAGAAUCCAAACAAAGUGUCAAAGUCGACCGCCAUCAUUUCUGACCACUUAGAGGAAAUGUUUAAGUAUUAAAUUUUGAAAAUUCUCUCUAUCUUAUGGUAACAUCAUCUUGUAAUACGCAUGUGUAUUAAGACAGACGUUUGGUUAAACAAAAACGCAUGCGUUUGAAAUUAAUUUUGUACCACAAGAUAGACAAUGUUUUAAAAUACUAAAGAAAUCUCUAGGAAAGUGGUGGGUGUGGUGGGGGCGGAUGGAUGGUGAAACGAUCUCAAAUUGUAAUGUUGCUGUUUCGUAACAGUAUGUUACAGUAUGUUAUGUUUCGUAACAGUAUUAAAAGAAAACUGAUUAAAGGGGGUAAGUUUCUAAAGAAACUGUGGUGCUGCGUCGGUGGGGGCAACAAGUUCAACAAGUUAAUUUGAAGGGCUAACGCUGGAAUCGUCAACUUUUAAACUCUUUACGGUGGCCAUUUACAAUGUCAACUUAGUUGAUAUAACCAAGUUACCUUGUAUAAAGAGAUCUUUGUCUCACAAGCUAGGUGACUUGUCAAGUGUUAUGUGUGGUGUGGGAUGGUGGACGGAUCAAACCCCAAUUUUUCAUUUUAUUCUCUGAAUUGGGGUUCGAACCAAUUUUGCUUUUUUUCCAAGAUUUAUAUUUAUCUCUGGUCUCAUUCUUAAGGUGAUCGUGUUCCUUGGUAUCCAGCUUUGGGUUGUAGAAGAAACCUGCAAAACAAGGAAAUUUGCAUAUGAUAAGUUGUGUUUAGCACGUUGCUUUCUGAAGUGGCUUUCUGGCUCCCCAAUUCUAAAUGCUGUAAAUCAAAUUUUUUGUAAUUAUUGAUAACAUGAAUACCAAUUUCGGUGAAUUUUAGUUUGCCCUUAAUGCUUGCAUUGCUUGUUGAGGAAUUAAAAACGAUAAAAGAAA
rnacentral:lncRNA from 1 species